CAGUAGCCGCGGGAAUACGAAGGGGGCUAGCGUUGUUCGGAUUUACUGGGCGUAAAGGGCGCGUAGGCGGAUAUUUAAGUCAGGGGUGAAAUCCCAGAGCUCAACUCUGGAACUGCCUUUGAUACUGUUUGUCUUGAGUUCGAGAGAGGUAAGUGGAACUGCGAGUGUAGAGGUGAAAUUCGUAGAUAUUCGCAAGAACACCAGUGGCGAAGGCGGCUUACUGGCUCGAAACUGACGCUGAGGCGCGAAAGCGUGGGGAGCAAACAGGAUUAGAUACCCCGGUAGUCCCUGUCUCUUAUAC
rnacentral:rRNA from 1 species